UACGUAGGGUGCAAGCGUUGUCCGGAAUUAUUGGGCGUAAAGAGCUCGUAGGCGGUUUGUCGCGUCUGCUGUGAAAACCCGAGGCUCAACCUCGGGCCUGCAGUGGGUACGGGCAGACUAGAGUGCGGUAGGGGAGAUUGGAAUUCCUGGUGUAGCGGUGGAAUGCGCAGAUAUCAGGAGGAACACCGAUGGCGAAGGCAGGUCUCUGGGACGGUACUGACGCUGAGACGCGAAAGCGUGGGGAGCGAACAGG
rnacentral:rRNA from 1 species